UACGUAGGGUGCGAGCGUUGUCCGGAAUUAUUGGGCGUAAAGGGCUCGUAGGCGGUUUGUCGCGUCGGGAGUGAAAACUCAGGGCUUAACCCUGAGCCUGCUUCCGAUACGGGCAGACUAGAGGUAUGCAGGGGGAGAACGGAAUUCCUGGUGUAGCGGUGAAAUGCGCAGAUAUCAGGAGGAACACCGAUGGCGAAGGCAGGUCUCUGGGCAUUAACUGACGCUGAGGAGCGAAAAGCAUGGGGAGCGAACAGG
rnacentral:rRNA from 1 species